rnacentral:lncRNA from 1 species
UCCAAAGGCCCAGCGAUGAUCGUAACCAAUGUUGAUGGGUUGGGGUGCAAACUUCACCCACUUGGGGGCUGUUCUCAUAGGCAGUCAUUGCACAACCUUCAAACUGUUGAUGUGAUUCAGGGAGAAGUUCUGGGAAGGAUGCAUUAUGAAGGCAAAACGAAAAUUCUACUAUGGGUGGAAUGGAAUAACAUCUGUUGACAAGAUGGAUGCUGGGUUUUUGGUGAUCGCUAUCACGCGACAAAGGUUUGGUAAGUCUUCAGUGUUUUUUCCCUGGUGUGACAGGAUUUUUCCAUGUUGGAGACUGAGCGUAUUAAAAACAAGGACUUUAUUUUAACUUCACCCUUAACGGACAGACAUUCCUCUUGCUCAAAACACUUCCAUGUACUCUUCCAAGGUGGUGUAAGAACGCUACCUUGUUGUAAAAAGCCACUGUUAGUCUCACCAAUCUGUGUAUCAGUUAUCCGUUGCUGUGUAACAAGUUAGCCCCGAACUUGGAGGCUUAAAACAACACUUACCACCUCACAUUUUCUGUGGGGCACGGAUCUGGGAGCAGUUUGUCCCAGUCAUUCUGGUUCAGGGUCCCUCGUGAGGUUGUAGUCAAACUACUGGCCAGGGCAGAUCUUCUCUUCAAGGGAGAAGUAUCAAGGAAUCUGUGUACAUGGUUAAAACCAUCAUGAUUUAUACAGCUAUAUUGCUGACUUCUACUCCUGACUUCUUUGCUAUAAUGUAAUAUGUAAAUUAUGUAAUACAUAUAAUGUUUAUGUAAUAUUUUGUUAACACAUAUAUUAACACAAUAUAUAAAUUAACAUAUACAUAUAAUAUACAGUAUUCUAUAUAAUAUAAAGAAUUAUAUAUUAAUGUAUAAUAAUAUCAUACGUAAAUCUAAAAUAAUAUGUGAAUACAUUUCCCAGGGGAGAAAAUCAAAAUAUAGAUGACCAGACUCCCCUUUGAUCCCUCUCCUGACAUAAUUCUCGUCAGCUCAGAAACUCUGAGCUAAACAGUACUCUGAGGCCUCUGUAUCCCUUUCUAGAUGUUUCCCUAUGCACUUGUACUUUCUAUGCAGAAAAUAUUCUGUGCUUUGUGUCAUAUAGCCUGGGUAUUCUCCACCUUGUCUUUUCCACUUAACAAUACACUUUGAAUCCACCUUUUUGUUUAAACUAGUCACAAACUAUUCCAAAGUAGAGAUGGGUCACAAUCCAUGCAGCCAUUCCUCCAGUGCUGAACACACAUGUUGUUUCACACGACAGAUGACAAGCCCUGUAUAUGUCUCUUCAGGCACAUGUGCUAGACGUUCCCAAAGAUGGGUACCAAAAAGUAGAAUUACUAGGUCAAGUUUUUUUAUUUUUUGAAAGAGAGUGUAAGUGGGGAAGGGGCAGAGAGAGAAGGGGACGGAGGAUCUGAAGCGGGCUCUGUGCUGACAGGCUGACAAGCGAGCCCAACGUGGGGCUCGAACUCAUGAACUGUGAGAUCAUGACCUGAGCUGGAGUUGGAUGCUCAACUGACUUAGCCAUCCUGGUGCCCCUAGGUCAACUUUUCUCAUUAAUGCCACAAAAUGACUAGAAGGAAAUUGAAAGGCAGAUUUGGUUCCAUUCAACUUUUUAUUUUCCAGAAAAUGUCACCUUUUCGUUUCAUCUUUCCUCAGCUUCUCCCGGCCAGCUGGUUAGCUGCACGGUCCCGAGACCACCAGGAGACAUGCAGAGAUGGCAGAUGCCAUGCUUCAUGGGAAGAGAAGAUGGACUGUGGUGACAGACCAUAUAGCUGUCCCCUCUUCUCGUGCCAUCCUUCCCUGUGUCCCUGCCUUUGUGUAAUCCCGCCCCCCUCCGCAUAACUAAUAAAAUAUGGCAAACACGGUGGGAUGCCACUCUGUGAUUAUUUAAGCAAGACUCCCACCUUGCUAGUGGAUUUACCCAUAGUCUCUCUCCCCUCGUUGGCCAAGGGAACCGAUGGAUCCUAGAGUUGAAAGGAAUCAAACCCUAUCUGCAACCAGGUACGUGAGGAAGCAGAUACUUUCCUGGGUUAGCCUCUGAUGAGAACCCAGCUCUGGCCAACAUACUGGCCACAGCCUUGGGAGACUCUGGGCAGAAGACCCGGCUAAGCAGUGCUCGGACUCCUGGCCCACAGAAAAUAUGGGACCAUAAGUGUCUGUUUUGUUCAGCCACUGAGUUUGUGGUAAUUUGUAG